GAGUGCUUGCACUCAGCGGUCAAAGUGCGAGUGGCGAACGGGUGAGUAACACGUGGGCAAUCUGCCCAAAAGUGGGGGAUAACACUUGGAAACAGGUGCUAAUACCGCAUCAACCGGCUGACCGCAUGGUCGGCCGGGCAAAGACGGCGUCAGCUGUCGCUUUUGGAUGAGCCCGCGGCGUAUUAACUAGUUGGUAAGGUAACGGCUUACCAAGGUGAUGAUACGUAGCCGAACUGAGAGGUUGAUCGGCCACAUUGGGACUGAGACACGGCCCAAACUCCUACGGGAGGCAGCAGUAGGGAAUCUUCCACAAUGGACGCAAGUCUGAUGGAGCAACGCCGCGUGUAUGAAGAAGGUCUUCGGAUCGUAAAAUACUGUUGUCAGAGAAGAACACGUGAUAGAGUAACUGCUAUGACGCUGACGGUAUCUGACCAGCAAGUCACGGCUAACUACGUGCCAGCAGCCGCGGUAAUACGUAGGUGGCAAGCGUUGUCCGGAU
rnacentral:rRNA from 2 species